UACGUAGGUGGCGAGCGUUGUCCGGAAUUACUGGGUGUAAAGGGCGCGUAGGCGGGGAUGCAAGUUAGAUGUGAAAUACCGGGGCUCAACUCCGGGGCUGCAUCUAAAACUGUGUUUCUUGAGUGCUGGAGAGGGAAGCGGAAUUCCUAGUGUAGCGGUGAAAUGCGUAGAUAUUAGGAGGAACACCAGUGGCGAAGGCGGCUUCCUGGACAGCAACUGACGCUGAGGCGCGAAAGCACGGGUAGCAAACAGGAUUAGAUACC
rnacentral:rRNA from 1 species